rnacentral:lncRNA from 1 species
UCACCUACCUUCUCUGCUCACCGCUGUGUGCUAGCAAUCGGAGGACCCUUGGCACACGGAGCGACAGGGGCCUCCCCCACAGACACCUCAUUUUGGGAAAGAAGAUUUGAUGAAUCCAGGGAACCCUCUCUCCAACACCCUUGGCCUCUCUGCAACUUUCUAACAUCAGGCAGAGUCAGAGGCACCAUCCCCAGGAGCUACAAAUCUUCAGCAUUCUCCACUCUGUGAAGUCAGAGGAAUGGCGGGACCAUAGCUCUGAGCUCAUUGGCAAAUACAACUAAUUUCAAUUUCUGGAAUGGAAGCAGUCAGAUAUUCUUCUGACUGCACGCGUAUGUGGGAGUGCCAUGUUGAAGAGUGGAAAAUAUGGAAGAUCAGUCCCUACAAACUUAAUAGGAGAAUGACAUUCAGAUUUCCCGAGUAUUUUGCAUGUCCAACUGAAAACUGAAGUAGGUUUAUGAGAGAAUGCACGCCUACCUGGAUGGGUCUGGGGAGUGUGUCACUGUCACCGCAGAUAAUUGACA